UUGCUAUUUUGAGGGGAUACAUACCUUCCUUGCAUUUUUUUCAACUUCUUGAAGAGAAUGAGAUGCUCUAUAUUUCAUUUUAUUUACUCUUAGGUGGGUAUCUUGUACCCCUAAUUCUACUGUCGGACACUUGUCCAUUUUUACCUCUCGUCUCACUUUUUCUUUUCUUUCGAGGUUCCGACGUGGGCACUUGCCCCUUUUUAUUUCCUCGUCUCUAUUUUUUUAGAGCACUCAUCUCUUGAGAUAAUAUAGCAAGUAGUAGUAACAAGAUAACUUGAGCAUUUAUUUUAUAGGGGAAAAAUAGAAAUAUUUUUGGCUAUUCUCUCCCGGAUUAGAAGUAGAAUAUUUUUGGGUGGUUCUGGAGAUGGAAAUGGGUGGAUAUAUGUGGAUGGUACUUCCGGAGUCGAAGCAGCAUGUGUGAGUGAACGUGCAAGUGAAAUCUUGAUUUAACCACAUGACAAGCUCCUAAGGGUCUACACAGUUUGACCACACUCAAUGCUCAUAAGCAGUAAAGUAAAUAUGUGGCUCAAAGUCUAGUAAGCAUGUAUAUAUGGCUGUGAUAGGAAUUUAAACUCUCAUCAUACAGCAACUCAUCAUGCAAUAUUUUAAAGAUUUUCAAAGAUAAAAUUCUCCACAAUUCUAGCAUCUCUAGGAACAGAUAAACAGCAGCUCAACCUUCCCAUAUCAUAUCCGUUAACAACAGAUCAAGUUUUCUUCCCACAAGUUUAGGUUUAGAGCAAGCUUUAAAUUAUAAUAGUUAUGUCUAAACUUGAGAGAGAACUUCAAAUUUUAAAAAUUAGGCAGAGCAACUAUUCAUCAUAUCCAUGCUAGAGUUUUAUUAUUAAGUUUCAGAUUAGCAUAGCCACUUUAUUUAUUUAUUAAACAACCUAAGCAAAAGAUAUAUAUAUAUAUAAGCACAAAAUCUUUAUUUGGUUUUCCAUAGUUAUGUAUAUUUAUAUUUUAAUAUAGUACAAGUAUAAAGAUAGAUAGAAAUACUUAGCGGGAUAAAUGGGGGUGCUCUCUCCCAAGCUGAAUUUUGACGUAAUUUCUUCUGAUGUAGCUAGCAGGUGGCAGAGGUGUAUUUGAAAGUCGGCAGUAUCUUGACAGCGAUUAGAAUAUCCUCCGUCUACUAGUCUUCUUGAUUCUUAAAUUUUGUGGAGCUCAAAUAGACAACAAAGCUUUGUGGAACUGAUUAAGUGUUAGCAUAAAUAUCUAGCCUUUAUCAUGUUGAGUCUCCUCAAAAAAUAUUACUCUCUAUAUUUUUUUAUAUUUUCGUUUUAUAAAGCAGAAAAGAAAUAUUUAUUUUAUUUUUAUGCCACCACAAUGAAUGUACUUAUGGGUUUUAUGCCACUCAUAUACUCACAUGGGGCUUACUGUAUUUUAACUUUUUUUAUUUUCUUUUUAGGAUAGUACGAAGAUGAUUAACUAAGCAAACUAUUUUAAAUAAUUGAAAGGGAAAAAGAUAACUACCAAUUUACCUCUUGGCAAGGCGUUCGGUGUUUUUAAGUCCUCCGAACGGGACUCUCCGUUUUCUCUAUUGUCCUGGGAUUCGUUGGGUGGCGCAGUCGGUACUUCCAGCAGCGCCUCCUCUUCAUGUAUGGUUAUCUUCUCUCUCCACACCUGACUCGGUGCUACGGUCUUCUCAGGAUAGUUCUGUUUAAACUGAAUGUCUUUUAACUUUACCAUUUCUCCUUCAUAGUCUGCCCAUCUGUUCUUGAUGAUUUCUCUCCUCUGGUUGCGGUUGCGUCGUUUUUUGACAUGCUUAGAGUCUUCAACGAUAUAGUUAGGGUCAGUAAAAUAGCGGCGUACCUUCUCUGAGGGGAAGUGCAUAUACACUUCUCCGGUUCCAAUAAAGAUAAUUGCUUUAACAGUGCUGAGGAACGGUCUUCCAAGGAUGAUGGGUGGAUCGUAUUCGUCUUCUCCCAUGACAAUAACCUGAAAGUCUAUGUAGACAAAAUGAUCGUCUAUUUUGAUAGGGACAUCAGUUACUAUUCCUUUAACCUCUUGGAAUGUCUGAUCUACCAUCUGGAGCUGAAUGUAUGUUGGUUUUAGAACAAGAGCCAAUAGGUCACUGCGGCCAUUAUGUUGACCCCCGAUCUGGUGUCACAAGUCGUCUUGUAGAAGUUGUAUCCAUUUAUGGAGUAGUAGAUGCUUGGCAUUCCUGGGUCGUCCUUCUUAGUCCGAAAUGGUGACUUAAGCUGAUGAUUUUGGCCUCCAUGAACUGCAGUGACCAUCUUAGCUGACUCGGUCCACACUUGCUUGUUCCUGUUCCUCCUGUUGGUCCUCUUCCAUGAUUCACGUCUGGAUUGAUCUGGGAUUUGUGUAGUCUUGUUCUUGAAGGAAAAUGUCUCCUUCUUCCCUUUGAUGUAGAAACUGAUCUUGGCAGCACUAGCGUAGAUGACAGCUCCCGAGGUGUUUAAGAAUGGCCUCCCUAAGAUGAUGGGUGCCCUCUCAUCAUUACCGGUCUCUAUCACCACGAAGUCUGCUGGGGCAUAUAAGGUACCAACUCGGACACAAAGGUUCCUCAAUAUUCCUUUUGGAAAACUUAUCGUCUGAUCUGCAAACUGCAAACACAGGGUUGUUUCUAAUAAAGGAUAUGUAAAGAAUUUUUCAUAGAGUACCCUGGGCAUAAUGUUGACACUAGAGCCAAAGUCGCAGAGUGCCUCUAACAAGUCCACCAUGCCGAUGGAGAUCAGGAUGACGGGGCAUCCUGGAUCGCCUCUCUUGACCGGCAGAAGGUUAGUAGUAACUUCAGUGACGGGGUUACUCCAAUUACCUGCAUCAAACAUGUGUACAAGAUUUGCAGAUUCUAAUCCUUCUGGUUGUGAUGGUAUAUCGGGGUUAGUAGUAGGAACAGAAGCAGCUAUUUGAUUUAAGUGUGAUUCAAUCAUUUUAUUAAAGCUAAUUUGAUUCUUGAUGGCUGUAGAGAAAUUAUUCAUUCUAUUAUUUAUAUUUUCUAGCAUUUUAUCAUUAGAUGCCAAUUUCUUAGAUAGGUUAUCCAUUAGCUUUCCUUGAUUAGACACUAACUCUCUCAGAGGUGGAAAAUUGCGAAUAAUUAGAAGAACAAUUAGGGAAUUACCAAGAAUCCUCUUGACAGAUCCGGAAACCAAUUGAAGAUUGACUCCUUGUAGUUCUAAUCCUAUGUAGCUAUGCUAAUCUAGAUAUCUAAUUGAUGUGGUGGCUCUAGGCUUGAUCAGAGGCUUCUUCUCCCUUGAUGAAUAAUGAAUUAGGGUUGAGAGGUCCCCUCCUCCAGGGGCUAGGGGGUCUGGUUUUAUAGUCCUUCCAAGUGAAUAUGGGUCGUCGGAUCAAGCCAACAUUGAUUGAACGGUUAUCAUUGAUCCUUUAGGUUGGUGGAGCGUAAUCCCGAAAGAGAGUCCUGAUUGGACACCAACACGGGGCGGGCGCCCUAGUCCCUAGGGCGGGCGCCCUAGGCCAGGCCCCGUUCUGCCUCCGCUUCGUUCUCGUCGCUUCUAGAGUCUUCUAGAUGUAAGAUAAUUGCACGGCACGUUAAUAUUUCUAUGUAAUCCCGACGUGUGGGCCUUUCUUCCGUAUUUCCUGAUAACCCCCUGCAGAAAUAGACAAACACCAAAACUCGUGGAAUUCUGUCAGAUAAAACCCUAAGUCUGGAUGUUGAUUUCAUUUGGAUCCUUUUCUUUGUUUAUUUGAUAAUUAAAUUUGAUACUUAAGGACCGUCAACAUCCUCCAUAUUUCCUGAUAACCCCCUACAGAAAUAGACAAACACCAAGACUUGUGGAAUUCUGUCAGAUAAAACCCUAAGUCUGGGUGUUGGUUACAUUUGGGUCCUUUUCUUUAUUUAUUUGAUAAUUAGAUUUGAUACUUAAGGAUCGUCAACAACUCCCCCAAGCUUACCUCUUGCUCGUCCCUGAGCAACGAUAGACUUAGUGAUGGAUCAGAAAUUGUUGCAAUGCCUUAGAAAGUUGACGGUACACAUUCUUUCAAAUAAGGUCUUAUCUCUGGGUUUGGGUAAACUAUUAAGAUUUGAACUUACUCAUAUUACCAUCCACUGUUGGGUAUUCUUAACAUCAUUACCAAAAGUAGACUAAGUUCUAAAUCUAGCAACGGUGCCAAAAAUGCCAAACCUAUCCCUCACACCACUUAAGCCAAGUUGUCAUCCCUAGCAUGACAUCAGAGACGCGGUAUUGAAAUAUGCAAUUGCUCUUCUAAAUAAAUAAUGAAUGGGAUUUGCAAGCGCACAGAUUAAUACUGAUGUAGCAUUUUAACCGGGAAGUAUUCCAGGUAUCGUUAUUUAUAUUUUUACCACUGGGAAGGGAUUAGAAAUCAUCACUAAUGAUUACAGAAUAGAAUAUGAGAUUGAGCAUCUAUCAUUGCAUGUAUAAUUGAGAACAUUAUAUCUAACUCUUCAUACAGGGAUAAGUGUCACAUAAAAGAUGUAUGAAAUAAUAAUAGUGACAAGGAUAACUAAUCUGAUCUAGCCACAUAAUAAAUAUGAUAAGCACCUCAAUAAGAUACUCUAGAAAGUCAUUAGCAUGGUAUUAGAACGAACUACAAGAAUAUUCCCUAAGUUAUUCUCAACUAUAUAGUCUAGCAUUAUCAUAAUUAGUGCAACCAUACUUAGCAAUCAUUGCGAGACAAGACUACGCCCAUGCAUAGUGAUAUUAGCAAGGAAUAUGAGAAACAUAGCAAUCACUCCCCUGUAAUAAUGUUGCUCUGCCAGCCCAAUACACGAGAGGGGGACUAUAUAAGAAUCAAUGAAGCUGUCACUAUCACGAACCACCCCACGAUCUGGCAUAUUGGGUACAAUCGCAGAUAAAUACGGUAUAAGCACCACGCCUACACAAUAUCUAUCAUUUACCCAUGGAUCCGAUGGAUAAACGCUAUACGAUCCUAAGCAUGUAUAUAGAUCGUAUCUAACUAAGCCAAGUACAUAACUAUGAUAAACUAAGAACAAUAUAAUCUUGAAUAUAAGCAAGUAGAGCGAAGUCAUAAGCAAUAUAUUGAAGUAGAACAAAGUCAUAUUCAUAAUAUUGAAGAACAAAGAUAAUUAGAAAACAAUUAGAAACACAAUUAGAGAAUUACCAAGAAUCCUCUUGACAGAUCCGGAAACCAAUCGAAGAUUGACUCCUUCUAGUUCUAAUCCUAUGUAGCUAUGCUAAUCUAGAUGUCUAAUUGAUGUGGUGGCUCUAAUCUGGAUCAGAGGCUUCUUCUCCCUUGAUGGAACAAUGAAUUAGGGUUGCGAGGCUCUCUCCUCCAGGGGCCAGGGGGUCUGGUUUUAUAGUCCCUUCAAGUGAAUAUGGGCCCUUGGAUCAAACCGACAUAGAUUGUAUGGUUUAGAUUCAUCCUUUAGGUCGGUGGAGACUUCCCGCAAAGCAGAGUCCUGUUUGGACUCCUGAGGUGGGCGGGCGCCCAGUAGGACAGGGCGGGCGCCCUGCCUCUGGCCCCGUUUCGCCUCCGCUUCGGUCUCGUGGCUUCUGGAGUCUUCUAGAUGUAAGAUAAUUGCGCAGCACGUUAAUAUCUUUACGUAAUCCUGACGUGUGGGCCUUUCUUCCGUAUUUCCUGAUAACCCCCUGCAGAAAUAGACAAACACCAAAACUCGUGGAAUUCUGUCAGAUAAAACCCUAAGUCUGGAUGUGGAUUUUAUUUGGAUCCUUUUCUUUACUUAUUUGAUAAUUAAAUUUGAUACUUAAGGACCGUCAACAAACUCCCCCAAGCUUACCUCUUGCUCGUCCCUGAGCAAGGAUAGACUUAGCUAUGGAUCAUAAGUUGUUGCAAUAUCUUUUUAAAAAUUUUGACGGUACACAUGCUUUUAAAUAAGAUCUCAUCUCUGAGUUAGAGUAAACUGUCAAGACUUAAAACUUACUUACUUUACCUCCACCAUGGGACUUGUAACUGUCACUUCUGUCUUGAGUGGUUAAAAGAUAGAACAGUCUAGCCAAGUGCCAUGUCUCUUAUUCUUGAUCAGCUAUAGCUCUGGGGUUUUUGCAGAUUUUCAAAUAAAACUCAGAGAUUCCUUGUAUGAUUCUCUCAGGUCUCUCUUUUGUGGUAUUUUUGGAUCCUUACCAAGGCAGUGAUGGUAUAUGCCUUCUCUCAAGAUAUGUGGUAUUUGUGGUAUGAGGCAUAGUGACAUUGCCUUCUCUCUCACCCUACUCUAAUAAGGCUUUAAUAUCUGGAGCUCAUAGGUGGGAGAUAAAGUAUACAUACUUACAAGACAUUUAUUGCAUAGUCAAACCAUGGAUCCAAAGUAACAAGUCAAUAAGUUUAAUCAAGAUAUGCAUGUGUGGCGAAUGAAUGGUAUAUGGUGAUGAUGGUGAUAACAAUGGUGAAAACAAUGGUGAAAACAAUGGUGAUGGAAGUCUAAUUCUACUUUUGCUCUUUGAGGGGAUACAUACCUUCCUUGCUUUUGAAACUUUAUGAGGAGAAUGAGAUGCUCUUCUUUUUCUUGUCUCUCAGGUGGGUAUCUUGCACCCCUAAUUCUACUGUCGGACACUUGUCCAUUUUUACCUCUCGUCUCACUUUUUCUUUUCUUUCGAGGUUCCGAGCACUUGCUCCUUUCCUCGUAUUAUUUUUUUAGAGCAUUCAUCUCUUGAGAUAAUAUAGCAAGUGGUAGUAACAAGAUAACUUGAGCAUUUAUUUCACAAGGGGAAAACAGAAAUAUUUUUGGUUAUUCUCUCCCGGAUUAGGAGUAGAAUAUUUUCAGGUGGUUCUGGAGAUGGAAUGGAUGGAUAUAUGUGGAUGGUACUUCCAGAGUAGAAGUAGCAUAUAUGAGUGAACGUGCAAGUGAAAUCUUGAUUUAACCACAUGACAAGCUCCUAAGGGUCUACACAGCUUGACCACACUCAAUGCUCGUAAGCAGUAAAUAGUAAAUGCGUGGCUCAAAGUCUAGCAAGCAUGUAUAUAUGGUUGUGGUAGGAAUUUAAACUCUCAUCAUACAGGAACUCAUCAUGCAACAUUUUAAAAAUUUUCAAGAUAAAAUUCUCUAGAAUUCUAGCAUCUCUAGGAAUAGAUAAACAGCAGCUCAGCCUUCCCAUAUCUUAUCCGUUAACAACUUAAACUUCAGAUCAAGUUUUCAUCCCACAAGUUUAGGUCUAGAGCAAGCUUUAAAUUAUAACAGUUAUAUCUAAACUUGAGAGAGAACUUAAAAUUUGCAAAUUAGGCAGAGCAACUAUUUAUCAUAUCCAUGCUUAAAUUUAUUUAGAUACAGAUUAGCAUAGCCACUUUAUUUAUUUAUUAAACACACUAAGCAAAAGAUAUAUAUAUAAGCAUAAAAUCUUUAUUUGGUUUUCCCAAAGUUUAUGUGUAUUUUAAUAUUCUAAAAUAAUAUAAGUAUAAAGAUAGAUAGAAAUACUUAUCGGGAUAAAUGGGGGUGCUCUCCCCCAAGCUGAAUUUUGACGUAAUUUCUCUUGAUGUAGCUAACAGGUGGCAGAGGUGUAUUUGAAAGUCAGCAGCAUUCUGACAGCGAUUAGAAUGUCCUCCGUCUGCUAGUCUUCUUGAUUCUUAAAUUCUGUGGAGCUCAGAUAGACAACAAAGCUUGUGGAACUAAUUAAGUGUUAGCAUUAAAUAUCUAUCCUUUAUUCAUCUUGAGACUCCUUGAUAAAUAUUACUCCCUAUUUUUAUAUUUUUGUUUUAUAAAGCAGAAAAAAUAUUUAUUUUAUUUUUAUGCCACCACAGUGAAUGUACUUAUGCGUUUUAUGCCACUCGUAUACUCACAUGGGGCUUACUGUUUUUUCACAUUUUUAUUUUCUUUUUAGGAUAAUACGAACAUGAUUAACUAAGUAAACUAUUUUAAAUAAUUGAAAGGGAAAAGAUAACUACCAAGUUUACCUCUUGGCAAGGCGUUCGGUGUUUUUAAGUCCUCCGAACGGGACUCUCCAAUUUCUUAAUCGUCCUGAGGUUCGUUGGGUGGCGUAGUCGGUACUUCCGGCAGCAUCUCCUCUUCUUGUAUAGUUAUCUUCAUUUUCCACACCUGACUUGGUGCUUCAAUCUCCUCGGGAUAAUUCUCUUUAAACUCUACGUCUUCUGAUCUUACAACUUCUCCUUCAUAGUCUGCCCAUCCGUCCUUGAUGAUCUGCCUCCUCUAGUUGCGGUUGCGUCUCUUUCUGACCUGCUUAGAUUCUUCAACGAUAUAGUUAGGGUCAGUAAAAUAACGGCGUACCUUCUCUGAGGGGAAGUGCAUAUGGACUUCUCCGGUUCCAAUGUAGAUAAUCGCUUUAACGGUGCUGAGGAACUGUCUUCCAAGGAUGAUGGGUGGAUCAUACUCGUCUUCUCCCAUGUCAACAACUUGAAAGUCUGUGUAGACAAAGUGAUCGUCUAUUUUGACUGGGACAUCAGAUACUGUUCCUUUAACUUCUCGAAAUGUCUGAUCUGCCAUCUGGAGCUGAAUGUAUGUUGGUCUUAGUGGCAUGGUCCCGAACAAGAGCCGAUAGGUGACUGCGGCCAUUAUGUUGACGCCCGAUCCGGUGUCGCAAAUCGUCUUGUAGAAGUUGUAUCCAUUUAUGGAGCAGUAGAUGCUUGGCAUUCCUGGGUCGUCCUUCUUGGUCAAAAACGGUGACUUAAGUUGGUGAUCUUGGCCUCCAUGGACUACAGUGACCAUCUUAGCUGACUCGGUCCACACUUGCUUGUUCCUGUUUCUCCUGUUGGUCCUCUUCCUUGAUUUACGUCUGGAUUGAUUUGGAAUUUGUGUAGUCUUGUUUUUGAAGAAAAAUGUCUCCUUCUUCCCUUUGAUGUAGAAACUGAUCUUGGCAGCACUGGCGUAGAUGAUAGCUCCCGUGGUGUUCAAGAAUGGCCUCCCUAAGAUGAUAGGUGCUCUCUCAUCAUUUCCGGUCUCUACCACUACGAAGUCUGCUGGGGCAUAUAAGGUACCAACUCGGACACAAAGGUUCUUCACUAUUCCUUUUGGAAAUGUUAUCGUCUGAUCUGCAAACUGCAAACACAUGGUUGUUUCUAAUAAAGGAUAUAUAAAGAAUUUUUCAUAGAGUACCCUGGGUAUAAUGUUGACGCUGGAGCCAAAGUCACAGAGUGCUUCUGGGACAUCCACCAUGCCGAUGGAGAUCGGGAUGACGGGGCGUCCUGGAUCGCCUCUCUUGACCGGCAGAAGGUCAGUAGAGAAUUCAUUGACGGGGUUACUCCAAUUACCUGCAUCAAACACGUCUACAAGAUUUGCAGAUUCUAAUCCUUCCGGUUGUGAUGGUAUACCGGGGUUAGUAGUAGGAACAGCAGCAGCUAUUUGAUUUAACUGAGAUUCAAUCAUUUUAUUAAAGCUAAUUUGAUUCUUGAUGGCAGUAGAGAAAUUAUCCAUUCUAUUAUUUAUAUUUUCUAGCAUUUUAUCAUUAGAUGCCAAUUUCUUAGAUAGAUUAUCCAUUAGCUUUCCUUGAUUAGACACUAACUCUCUCAAAGGUGGAAAAUUAUUAUUAUUAUUAUUGUAAGAAUUGUUACCUUGAUAAUUACUUGAGUAGUUAGGCCUCUGUUGAUUCCAACCUUGAUUUUGUUGAGGACGGUUGUAGUAGUAGUAGUUGUUGUUGUUGAUGUAGUUCACAUCCUCAAGUAUCUCAGGGCAGUGGUUGCCUGAGUGUCCAGUGUCUCCACACUCCUCACAAGUCAUGUGAGAGUCGUAGAUGUGCAUAACUUCUUUCUUGUCUCCAGCUCUAUCGUCGAGCUUCUUCAUGAGCAGGUCUAGCUUUGCAGACAACAUGUCUACCUCCUUCAGCUGAUGCAUACCUCCACCUCUCUUGCGUGUCUGGCUCCUCUCUUCAUUCCAGCUUUGGUUGGACGCCAUCUUCUCCACAAGAGUUGUGGCUUGUGGUAUAGUAAGUGAUAAGAAUGCUCCUCCAGCUGCAGCAUCCAUGGUCUCUCGGGCACUGUUGCUGAGCCCAUGAUAGAAUGUCUGCAUCAAUAGCCAACUCUCCAUUCCAUGAUGGGGACAUUCUAGGAUGUAGUCUUGAAAGCGCUCCCAUGCUUCUGGAACAGAUUCAUCAUUUUGUUGCUGAAAACUUGUAAUCUUCCCACGGAGAGCAUUGGUCUUGCCCAUGGGAAAGAACUUAGCCAGGAAGUUUGUUGAGCAGAGUGCCCACGUAGUAUUCUUCUCCUUUGUAGCGUAGAACCACUGCUUCGCUCUUCCUAACAGUGAGAAUGGGAAGAGGCGAAGUAGUAUAGCGUCUUUGGAAACUCCUGCUAUGGUGAAUGUGUUGCAAAUCUCCAGGAAGUGUUGUAAAUGAGCACUAGCAUCUUCGUGUGCCUUCCCACAGAACUGGUUGGAUUGCACCAUGUUGAUAAGUCCAGGCUUGAGCUCAAAGUUGCCAUCGAUCUCUGCAGCAGGUCCAGUGCGGAUGUUGUCCGUAGUGGGAGCUGAGAACUCGCGGAUCGAUUUGUUCGCCAUGGCUUCGAACUCUGAAGACAAGUUCCGGUGAUCUUCUUGAUUGGAUGAAGCUUCUUCGUGAAGUGUUGAUGAUUUCUUUAGCUUGGCUCUCGUCUUCUUGAAUAAUGCUUCAGGAUCGUCAACAAAAUUUCCUGGAAGAUGUCUUCUAUUCAUACAUUCCCCUACAUAAGAUAAAAUAGAAAAAUAUCAGGGUAAAACUGUAUGAGAGAAUAGAUAAGCUCAAUCAUAUCAGUGAUGCGAAUGAUAACUCAAAAUCUUUUAUUCCAUUCCUGAUUAGUAAUCAACCUUCCCCGGCAACGGCGCCAAAAAUUGCUUGUUGGGUAUUCUUAACAUCAUUACCAAAAGUAGACUAAGUUCUAAAUCUAGCAACGGUGCCAAAAAUGCCAAACCUAUCCCUCACACCACUUAAGCCAAGUUGUCAUCCCCAGCAUGACAUGAGAGACGCGGUAUUGAAAUAUGCAAUUGCUCUUCUAAAUAAAUAAUGAAUGGGAUCUGCAAGCGCACAGAUUAAUACCGAUGUAGCAUUUUAACCGGGAAGUAUUCCAGGUAUCGUUAUUUAUAUUUUUACCACUGGGAAGGGAUUAGAAAUCAUCACUAAUGAUUACAGAAUAGAAUAUGAGAUUGAGCAUCUAUCAUUGCAUGUAUAAUUGAGAACAUUAUAUCUAACUCUUCAUACAGGGAUAAGUGUCACAUAAAAGAUGUAUGGAAUAAUAAUAGUGACAAGGAUAACUAAUCUGAUCUAGCCACAUAAUAAAUAUGAUAAGCACCUCAAUUAGAUACUCUAGAAAGUCAUUAGCAUGGUAUUAGAACGAACUACAAGAAUAUUCCAUAAGUUAUUCUCAACUAUAUAGUCUAGCAUUAUCAUAAUUAGUGCAAGCAUACUUAGCAAUCAUUGCGAGACAAGACUACGCCCAUGCAUAGUGAUAUUAGCAAGGAAUAUGAGAAACAUAGCAAUCACUCCCCUGUAAUAAUGUUGCUCUGCCAGCCCAAUACACGAGAGGGGGACUAUAUAAGAAUCAAUGAAGCUGUCACUAUCACGAACCACCCCACGAUCUGGCAUAUUGGGUACAAUCGCAGAUAAAUACGGUAUAAUCACCACGCCUACACAAUAUCUAUCAUUUACCCAUGGAUCCGAUGGAUAAACGCUAUACGAUCCUAAGCAUGUAUAUAGAUCGUAUCUAACUAAGCCAAGUACAUAACUAUGAUAAACUAAGAACAAUAUAAUCUUGAAUAUAAGCAAGUAGAGCAAAGUCAUAAGCAAUAUCUUGAAGUAGAACAAAGUCAUAUUCAUAAUAUUGAAGAACAAAGAUAAUUAGAAAACAAUUAGAAACACAAUUAGAGAAUUACCAAGAAUCCUCUUGACAGAUCCGGAAACCAAUCGAAGAUUGACUCCUUCUAGUUCUAAUCCUAUAUAGCUAUGCUAAUCUAGAUGUCUAAUUGAUGUGGUGGCUCUAAUCUUGAUCAGAGGCUUCUUCUCCCUUGAUGGAACAAUGAAUUAGGGUUGAGAGGCUCUCUCCUCCAGGGGCCAGGGGGUCUGGUUUUAUAGUCCCUUCAAGUGAAUAUGGGCCCUUCGAUCAAACCGACAUAGAUUGUAUGGUUUAGAUUCAUCCUUUAGGUCGGUGGAGACUUCCCGCAAAGCAGAGUCCUGUUUGGACUCCUGAGGUGGGCGGGCGCCGAGUAGGAUAGGGCGGGCGCCCUGCCUCUGGCCCCGUUUCGCCUCCGCUUCGGUCUCGUGGCCUCUGGAGUCUUCUAGAUGUAAGAUAAUUGCGCAGCACGUUAAUAUCUUUACGUAAUCCUAACGUGUGGGCCUUUCUUCCGUAUUUCCUGAUAACCCCCUGCAGAAAUAGACAAACACCAAAACUCGUGGAAUUCUGUCAAAUAAAACCCUAAGUCUGGAUGUGGAUUUUAUUUGGAUCCUUUUCUUUACUUAUUUGAUAAUUAAAUUUGAUACUUAAGGACCGUCAACAUCCACCAUGGGGCUUGAAACUGUCACUUGUGUCUUGAGCAGUUAAAAGAUAGAAUGGUCAAGUCAAGGGCCAUGUCUCUUGUUCUGGAUCAACUAUAGCUCUAGAGUUUUUGUAGAUUUUCAAAUAAAACUCAAAGAUUCCUUGUAUGACUCUCCCAAUUCUCUCCUUUGUGGUAUUUCUGGAUCCUCACCAAGGCAGUGAUGAUAUAUGCCUUCUCUCAAAGUAUGUAGUAUUUGUUGAUGAUAUAUAGCUUGUGACCUUCCAGGAGCAGCAGCUUGUGUUCUAGGCUCAGCAGACGGCGAUGAUGGCCGCUCUUAUGGCCGCCUCAGGGAUUCAGCUUACUCAGAUACAGCUCCCAGGCACUUCGUCAGUCAGGCCUCCUACCCCAGCGCCUUAGAGUCAGUCUCAGCCACCGCUUCAGCUCCCUGCUCAGAGUCAGCCAUUCUUGACGCCACAGCACUAGGUUUCAUAGGGUGCCAUCUCUUCUGGCUUUAAGCAGUUGCCUCGGUUCACACCUCUGCGCUCUGGUUUUACAGCUCAGUCAGCGACAGCGUCAUAGCUUGUGUUGGAUUCAUCGGCAGGCCAGCACAUCAGUUUCUCUUACAGUGCUCUGACUGGUGACCCUACGCCUUCACCCCUGCAGGCUCCUGCAGCUUUUACGAUCCCAGUUACCACCACUGAGCACCUGUCGUUGUCAGUAGCUUCGUCUGAGUAGCUUGCACCUUACUCUACCGUACCAGAGAUGUCAGCUACAGCGACAGAGUCCAUGCCAACCUCGUCAGCAGGACUUGAGCAGCCCGCACAGCCUGUGACAGCUUUAGAGCCUAUAGAGCCGACCCAGACCGCUUCUCCAGCACGUGCAGCUUCAGAGGGUCACUCUAUCUCCUCCGACUCGACGGCCAAUGGAUAAGACGACGCAACAAAGUUUCAGGCUGUGCCGAGGGACUCCACUACUCCGCCUCCACCUCCUUCAUCUUAGGUUUUUGGCGCUUGAUGCCAAAGGGGGAGAGAGUUGAGAGUAUGAGAGUUAGGGGGAGCUAGAGCUAGAGAGGGCUUUGGGUUUUUGAUACUUUUGUUUGCUACUCCUUGCAUCAUAUUUACGUUUAUGCAUUGCAUUUGUGUGAGAUACUCUUGGGAGAUACUUUUCUGGUUGUGAGACAUGACUUAUGCUUCUCUGUGAUAUCUUUAUGUCAUGUGGAUUGGCUCAUAUUACAUUGCUUCCGCAUUUUUACUCUGAUGUACUAUGAGCCAUAUGUGUUGAUAUCCUGUUGUAUACAUCUCACAUAUUUGGAUGCAGGAUGAUAGAGUUAGUUGAUAUAAGCAUGCCUAAUCCCUUUUGUUCUUAUUGACUCAUGCGUAUAGAAACCAAGUCAUUUGAAAACCUCAUUUCCUUUCAUACUCGAGGUUAUUGUCAUCAAUCACCAAGAAGGGGGAGAUUGAAAGAGCAUCUAGGCCCCUAAUGAUUUCAGUGAUUAAUGACAAUGUUGAUUACUGUGACUAACGUGUGUUUUGCAUAGGCAAAGUCAUUUAGUGAGGUCAUGGUAAUAGGUACUCGAUGAAUAGGGACGUACAUGCCUACUUAAUAGUGGAAAUCAUUUCGGUUUUCAAAGGAUGGAUGGACAUCAUCAAGACUAGACUAGGUCUAAGUGCCAUAUGGUGAAGAAGGGCACGUAGAGUAGUUUAGGACUUUGUUUUCUUUUGACCGUACUAUUAAGAGGGGCUUUGAUCUAGUAGCUUGACUUAGGCAAGGCUUUAGGUUUAGGUGUGGUGCACACUUGGUAAACCUAGCUCUAGGCAGCUCAAAGAUAUUCCUUAGAUCGAGAGGAACCAACUUCAUUUUGGAACGGUCGCGUUUCGACGAAGUUAGGGUGCCUAAGUAGGCACCGAACACUCUGUGAGUGCGUCCGUUGAGGUCCUUAGCCGUUGGAGAGCUUUGGUGCUUAGGGUUAGGCACCGGACGCUGGCACCAGACUCACCGGGCAGCGUCCGGUCCCAUACCCAGGGAGGUUCUAAACCUGCCCCGAGCACCGGACGCACCGGGUAGCGUCCGGUCUUAAACUUAGGGAGUUUGUAAAACUCCCCGGAGCACCGGACGGUGCCAUCGGACGCUGGGAAGUAGCGUCCGGUGACCUGUCAGAGACAGUACAGUUAGCCGUUGAAGUGCGGUGCAGCAUCAACAGCGUCCGGUGACCCUGUUUUUAGUGGAAACCGGUUGGCCGACCCUUGGACUUAGUGGGGUGUAUUUAAACUCCUCCACGUCGUCCAUGAGAGGUCUCUGCCCAUUUGAACAUCUAAGAAACUUGUUGUGGAGCAAGAGAGUAGCAAUAGACUAGAGAGGAUUGAGAUUUGAGAGAUUUCUUGUGAGAAUCCUUCUCUAGUUGAAUUCCAAGAGUCAAGUGUGCAUCCACCACUCUCUAGUUCCUUGUUUGGGUCAAGUGAGAGUUCUUUGCUUGUUUCUCUUGGUGAUCGCCAUCACCUAGAUGGUUCGGUGGUGAUUGGAGGCACGAGGACUGCCCGAAGUUCUUGUGGGUGGCUCGUGUCAAGCUUGUGAGCGGUUUUGGGCGAUUCACCAUGACGGAGUGUCGAAGAAUCAGCCCAUAGCGAGCACUUGGUCCUUGCGUGGACCAAGGGGGAGCAAGACCCUUGCGCGGGUGCUCCAACGUGGACUAGUGGAGAGUGGCGACUCUCCGAUACCUCGGCAAAACAUCGCCGAGCACUUUCUUGCACUACUCCUUUACUUUCUAGCAUUUACUUUGUGUUUUUACAUUCCUAGAAUUGCCAUGCUAGAAUAGGAUAGGAACUAAGUUGCAAAACUUUUAUCCGGUAGCUCUCUAGUCACACUAGGCACAAGGGGUUGAAUUGGAGCUUAUAGGUUGCUUAAAUUUUUAGAGAAGCCCAAUUCACUCCCCCUCUUGGGCAUCUUGAUCCUUUGAGACCCGUACAUGAGCGAUUAAAUUUUGGAGGGAUAAAUCAGCGUAUAAAAAUAGAAGAUACUCAUGAUUGGCUGAGAGGAGUGUCGAGGGUGUCAAUAAAUGGUACCCCAAUAGACAUCCCUGACAGAGGAUAAAAAGCUAACCUGCAAGUCAGACUCGACACCCCCCUCUAUAAAAGCGUGCUGAUCGAUGAUCUAACUCGACCCACGACACGCUCAAUGAUUGAUCCUGGUCUCGGUUAUGGAAAUAUGGUCGAGCGAACAACUAAAGGCUCAGAGCUAGACAACCCUCGAUUACGGAAGUGGCAUCGAGCGAAUCAGCUAGCCUCGAGAGCAAAAAGCGCAUCCCGCCGCCUGCCGCUGGUACGAGGUUCAGGGCAUUUAAUGCGACUGACAGGCUCCCACCUAACCUAGCAGGCACAGGAAACAUGAUGAUGGAUCAUGUGCCUGUCAAAUUCUGUUUUUUCCUAGCUUUGUCCUCAAAAUCAGAGAAAGAUAUGUACAGGUACAGUUGCAACAGGCGUAAUGUCCCAUCAAGUCAGUGCUCUUGUACACGGGCGCCGCAUAAACCGCCAGACCCUCGAGCCUGCGUGCUCCUUCUCAGAAAAGGGUUGAGUGAUGGAAGAUAAGCUCAGGAGGUGCAUGCGCCAUCAACACCAAGUACACUACAACAAGAUGGGUCGAGGCCACGCUGGUACGGAAGCCUCGAGUAGACUCGUGCCAUACCCCUAUCGAGGCCUACUCUAGCGCCUAUGCCCUAUAACCUUGAGCCUCCCCUUGGACUAUAAAAGGGGACACUGAGGCCAAGACAGGAUGAGAGAAAAAAACAAGACUCGCAUACACCACCCCACGCCGUGAGGACUUAGAACCCAUAUCAAAUCUCUCUUGUAUACACCCCUAUACAAGCACUUUGGUGCAAGAUAAUAUAGACUCUCUCUCCCCCGCUGGACAUGGGGCCUUCUUUUUCCUAAACCAGGAUAAACCCUUAUGUCCAUCUUGCAUCACCAUCCGGAAAGGAGAACACGCACACAAAUUCACUCGUUGGUGUUGCCCCCCAUGUUUAAAACACCGACUGUUGGCGUGCCAGGUAGGGGUCCUGCGUGUUUCACUAAUGAUUUUCCACCUCUUUUCGGAUGGCCACCUCUAUCUCACUGAUUCCAUGCUCCAUGGUGAUCUAGUUUGGGAGCCUCGAGUUCAUGUCCACCAGCUUCGGCUACGACAUGAUCUUGUUCUCAGUCAGAGGACCGGAAGGGGCUCGCAUUGUGCCCACACGAUCGAAGGCCACGUGUCGGCCUCACCACCAUGCCUCCCCGACCAAGAGGAGGUGCGAUCAGCACCGUCACCAUCGCCCCAUGGCUGUUGCGUGAUCACCACCCUGUGUAGGGCAGCUAGACCCCCUGGUUGUGGGACCGUCAGCUCUGCGCUUCGAGACAGUGACCGAGCCAGCCAGCCAAGGGGCAACCACCAUUCGACAGUGCCAAGGAACACCAUUCCCCGUGCACCUUCACCGCCAUCCACCCUGCUGCCACAUGGUUUGUUCGCCACCAGGCGGACGCUCCCGUUUAGCCUCAACAACGCUGCAACAUCCCUCGCCAGGACAGUCCAUCCUAGCGCCAACACGCACGUGGAGCGGCCAUAGGCCCUUGCACGUAGCGUAACAGUGCAACAAGAGGUCCCUACAUCAGCUGAAAGCCCAGGCUUUCUGCAGAUACGCAGGCCUCGACCCUUGGGACCAGGAGGCUACACCGUGACCACACUGAGAUAGCAGCUAGCGGAAGAGUGGCGCGGAUGCUUCUACACCACCGCAGAGCCAGAUCUCGACUCUAAGUCUGAUAGCUACGACCCCACGAGGGAGCGCUUCAAAAUUGUAGAUGGAGUUGUGGCCACCACAGACGACACAGAGGAUGAUGCCAAUGCCGCCGCUGCCGCCGCCCCAGAGGUCAGGGAGAACCCUAGGACUCCUAGGCACGAAGGACAGCUAGACCCUCCCCCUCCUCAGGAUGACAAGGCCACGCAGCUCGCACAACUGUGCGAGUUGAAGGCCAAACUCGACGAGGAUUAGGAGCGCCUCGACAAGCUAGAACACGCUCUCGAGCAAGAUCAAGUGCACCCGCAUGGCGGAGGAGCACGAGGUCACGCUCAAGAAGUCUACCAGCAGAUCAUCGAGGACGGAGAGCCGGAAUGACUUGUCAGUCGUUUCUCUCGAGCAGGAUAGAACAUAGUAGUGGCAACUAUGUUGCUGUGCAACAUGCCCGAGCCCUCAAAGUCCCAAGCGCACCGCAUACGAGAUGAGGUACAAGGCUUACUUCACGCCACUACGGCCCAGCAAGCUGAAAGCUCACCCUCCCAGUGUUGAGGGGCAGCCACAGAAAAAUGCCCCGAGCCGGCGCAACAUGGGAGAGAGGUUUCUAUCCACCAGGAGCCUCCCCCUCAAGGCAAGAAGACGGCCCCAAUCCAGGAGCGCCUUGUCGACAACCGGGAGCCACGUGACGCGCGCCACGACAUCAACAAGCACCGACGACGCAAACACGGGGAUGCUGAGGAGCGAGGCUACAGUGCUCACCGCGGCGGAUGCUACGACAGUGAUGAGGACCGGAUGACUCCAGAGCUGCUGGGGCCUCGAGUCUGGGCGAUCCAUAGCACGCUACUGCCUAAUCUACUUUGGCCUCCAACUAGAAUCGCUAAGUACAAUGGCAAAACUAAGCCAGAACUAUGGCUAGCGGACUUUCGGCUGGCAUGCCAGCUGGGAGGAGCUCGAGGAGACGAUCGAGCCAUCAUCCGAUAGCUCCUGCUUUUCCUCUCUGACACCGCUUGUAGGUGGCUCGAGGAACUCCCCGCUAACUAAAUCUAUGACUAGGUGACCUAGUCAGGGUGUUUGAGGGAAAUUUCAAAGGGACCUAUGUCCACCCAGGCAACUCGUAGGACCUCAACAAGUGCAAGCAGAAAGCCAGAGAAUCUCUUUUAGAAUAUGCUCGACGCUUCUCCAAACAACGCACCGAGGUCAAACACAUCCCCGACCACGACGUCAUUCUGGCGUUUGUGUCAGGCACCACCUGCAAGGACUUGGUGCGGGGAGUUGGAAUGCCAUAACCCGCUGACCGUCGACGAGCUGAUGGAUGUAGUGGCCAACUAUGCGGCUGGCGACGAAGCGGUCGACAUGUGUUGAUGGUAGAUAAGCCCUAUUUUUACCCCAUCAAAACCGUUAACAAUACAUUCUUUCUAGAAGAAAAUCACCAAACACAUAGUGACUUAGGUACAAAUAACUUGGUUCCACAUGUACAUGUCAUCAUUUGAAUGCACGUGUGCAAUCGACUACUUUUCAGGGUUAAGAAGCUCUAUAUGAAGGUUGGACUACCACCCUAGAAUGGCCAAUUGGAAAACCAACUUCACAUUCAUCAAUCUCAGAGCUUCUGGAGACAAUGUGCAAAAGAUGGGCACAUUAGUGGGGUCGGCCGACCCCACCUUUGUGGGCCCAGCACCACUACUGUGCUUAGAAUUUCACCAGGAACUCACCUGCAGAAGAUGAACCUUUGGUUCUACCAAAGUGGGGUCGACCGACCCCACUAUGGGGCCAUCCAGCCACCUCGUUUGCACCAACCAACAUGGGAUUCCUUCUAGAAGACAACACCGGUCCCACCUGUCAUUGGACAGGUCGACCGACUGACAUGUGGGCCCCAUCUUGUGUCGGUUCACUCCCACCGACAUCCCCAUGAUGAACAUGUGAUGGAAAUCCCCAACCGUUGAUCAUAUGGUGGUUCCAAGGUUGGUUUAUCCAAUGGUGCAUGCUGGAGGUCACGCGGAUUGCUGACGUGGCACUGGAGUAGCCCCUACUCCAUCUCUCCCCUAUAAAUACCCCCUUAGAAAGUCUAGUUAAGCAUGAUGUAUCUUCAGAAGAGCUAAUCUUAGCUAGUAUGAGAAUAUAGGGAAGAGAGUGAGGAGUUCCCUAAGGAGGAGUCCCAGCUUAUCGGGAGUUUUCUUCGACGAGCACCUCAGCGGAUGCUUGUCUUCUAGUAAGUCUUCCUUCUAGUUGCCUUUCAUCUGAGUACUUCCAGUAUUUACUUUCUAUCUUAGUUUAUUUUAAGUAUACAACCAGCCUACUGGCACAUUGCUUUGCCUUGUGUGAAGUGCUCGAAACCUUAGCUAGGUCUAGAGUAGUAGAAUUAGUGUAGACGUGGUGUCUAGACUAAGUCUACCCUUAUGGACUUCUUGUCGCACCUGAAGAACGCCGGCAGUGAAGCGUGACAGGCCUCUACUGGACAUUAGGAGUUCUCUUAAUGUGUUGUUUGGCAUGUUGCAAAUAAUAGUUGGCCUGCAUGGUAGCUGCCUAGUGAAGUGUUUGGCCACACCCUUUUCACCUAUCAGCCACAGUAUGAAGGGAAUUAACUCUCAAGUAUACUUAGGAUAGCUUAGCCAGAAGCCAAAUACUACAAAUACCUCUCCACCCAAUCCUAAGCCCAUUGAUCAUCAUCCAACGACUCAGUUGGUCUAGUAAGUCCACUUCUCGUUCCCCGUGGAAAAUACGAUACCUAGAAUACUCCUGGUGAAGUGCUACAUUAACCACCGUCCACUUGCUGUAAAACCAUUUGCCACUUCUGGUGUCUCAUAAGCAUUUCUAGUGCUAUGCCAGGGACUGACAAUCCUAGGUAGUGACAUUAAGAAGAGUCAUCAAGCUUUUCUAGCGCUGUUGUUGGGGAACGGUAGCUGAUCUAACUUAGACCCAAGUCGUCCGAGUUAUCCUUCUUUUACCUUUCUUUUCUUUUUAUCCUUUCCACUGCAUGUUUGCUUAAUAUUACAUAAAUCUAGUGCUUUCUUGGGUAGCUCCUAGUCUUUGAGUUGUAUUCAGGCAUCAUGACUAGUCUAGAUAGACAACAAUUUUAUUGUUGUCUACCUAUUCGGGCUCCUAGUCUAGCUUGUGGUAGUCGAAUGUCAAACGGGAACAUCCCAGCUCAUAUAUCGGCUUUAGCUGUAACACCCUAGUGUUAUGGUUGCAUUAAUCAUGUGCAUAGCAUAAGCAUCAUCAUCUACUCAAAGCAUAUCAUGAUCAUCAUCUAUCUUGAGCCAUGUCAUUCUAUGCAUAAAUGUGUUUUAAAUUGCUUAAUUAGGCUUCCUAUGCUUAUGUUUGAGUGAACCAUGCUUGUGUUUGUGCUUAAUGCCUUGGUAAUUAGUUUAUCUAUGCUUAAUUUGACUUUGGGAACAAUGUUCAUGUUGGUCACUUCUCCAAAAUAUGCCUUUAAGUCAUACUUAUGAAAAUAGGCCCUAGAAACCUCUUUUGCUUAGGCUUUUAAAAAGUGUUUCAUAAAAUGUUUACAUGUCAAAACUUUCUACAUCAAAGUUGUAGCACAUUUUAUAAGGAACAAAAGUUGUUUUAUGGCCAUCUCAUGAAAAUGACCACAAAUAGCUCAAAAGUGACCCACAAGGCAGAUUUGGGGCUGUUUCCAACACUUAGAAAAUUUUCUAAGUCCUGGAACGAAACCAGUUUGCUCGAUCAAUUUUGAAAACUCUGUAUCUUUCAAUCCAGGCCGAUUUGGCUUUUGCUCCAAUUGACAAAGUUGUAGAACUCGAUUGGAACUCCAACUUUGUCAACUGCAUCAUCUUCUAACUCGGGCUGGUUUGGGAGACAAUCAUCGGUGAAGUUGCUCUGUCACACUGUCAUCGUUUCUUCUGAAUCGAAGCCGAGCUCGUCGACAUGGCCAACCGGCGGCAGAGCUCCGUCGACAUUUGGCGCCCGUACACCGUUCCUGGCCCCGCUUGUCAGCUCUCUUCGUGUGCAUGACCCCCACGGCGUCGCCCUGGACGCAGUGGACGCGUCCACUCUCGCCUUUCACGCCUCCACUCGCCAGAAGAGCGUCCGCAGCGAGCUCACCGUCGCGAGCUCACUCCGGCGAGCUCGUGCGCGCUCCUCGCUGCGUCCCAGCCUACCAAACUUCACCCAAAGCUCCACCGUGAACCGCUCUCCAAUCUCCACGCUCUAACUUGCCGAGAAACCCACCGGUGAGCCGACAUUUCCUUCUUCCCCCAAAUCGGGUCGCCGUGACCAUCUUCUCCGGCGAACUCAAUGCCGAGCCCUGUGAAGCCUUUUGUCGUCUCUGGUUAGGUCCUAGAGGUAGCUUAGGUCCUUAGCGAGCUUUUGCGCCACUUGGUGGCUGCUCUACCAAGCUCUCCGUCGCCGGACACGGUGCGCAGCGCCGCCGUGCUUCCACCGGAGAUGGGUGCUCUCGUGGCCAGCGUGUUCCACGAGAAUCCAAGCCAAGCUGCGUACCUAGGAAGCUUCGCCGUAGUCCGCUGGUGCUGUAGAAGGCCUUAGGUCGCGCUCUACCGGCCUGAGGGCUCCGGCGUAACGCCGAGCACCUCUGCCGAGCCGCCAUCGUCGACGGCGAGCCCUUUCCGGUUGCUCCGCCGUGGGGAAAAGGGGGUCAAUCGAGUCGCUAGGGUUUGGGGAUCAUGCUGAUGCCCUUGGUUUGGCCGGAGACCUCGCCGUCGCGGAGAAAUCGCCGGCGAUAGUCGCAUCGGCCGUGAGGACGAUGACCCUGACAGCUGGGGCCCACUGUCAGCGUCACUCUCCUUCCCUCCUUUUCUUUUAUUCAAAAUCUGGAUUUUUGGCUUUCUUGCAAAAAUCAUAUCUCCUGUUUCGGAGAUCCAAAAAUUGUGAAACAAAUUUUGUGGUAUUCCUUGAGAUUGCUAGUUUUUAAUAAAAAUAUAAAAUGAACCAUGUUUUCUGGGAAAAUAUUUAUUAAGUAUUUAAUCUUGUUAUUCAUGGAUAAAUUCAUAUCUCUGGUUAUACUGCUUAGUUUACUCUAAAAAUUUUAUGGUAGUCUCUGUAUGGUAUUAGAGUUCUUUGGUAAAUAUUUCAUGAUUUUUGGUGUACUGCAGCUUUGAUGUGCAAUUUAUGAUUGAAAUGUGGCUUGUUUCUUUAAUUAAAUCAUAUAAAAUAAUUGGUGCUUAUGCUGGUGCUCUACUUUGGUAGUAAACCUGUUCAUGGUAUUUCUCAUAUAUAAAUAAUCUGAAAUCUGUUGUUUGAUACCAUAUAAGUCAUGUUUCUUAAUUUAUGAAGUAAACACCUAGGCACAUGUUAAAUGCAUAACUUUAAUUUGGUAUGUGCAAUUGCUCUGAAAUUUCCCUGGUGAUACUUUGAUACUAUCUUUGUGCUUCUGUAAUUUUUGUAGAUUUUUCUGAGCACUUUGACUAGUAGCUUGUGAUUAUGCUAUUAUCUAGAAUUAAUUAAUAAAUGCCUUGUUAAGUAAAUGUUUGGGGGUUGUCAUCUGAUGUUCUGGCAACCUUGUAAUGUGCUUGUGCUCAUAAGCCAUGUGGUUGGCAUGGUUUAUGUUUUGGUCAUGUCAUUAAAUAAUUAAUUAUAGGGUUAAAGGCUGUUCUGGACAGCAAGGGAGAAAUUUAACUUUUGCUUAAUGAUAAUUUGGUUUUCUGGGCAACUUGUCUAAAUCAAAGUUGUAGUAAACUUAUUGAACUAGCUGUGGUUUAAAUUUGGAAUAAAUUGGUCCAGUAGUUUAAAAGUUAUGGCUGUUCCAAGUUAGGUUCCAGAAAUAGGUGCUCUCUGUUUUUCUUGGACAGAACCUGGAAUUUUGUUUAAUUGACUGGUUUAAUGUAUGAAUCUUGCUGUCAUGUUUAAAGGUGAGAUGUAGACAAUUUCAUAAGCUUUUCAGAAUGUCUUUACUUAUGUUUGUUGGAUCUGUCUAUCAUUAGUUAUGAUCUGUUUGCUGAGUUACUCCUGUUUUGUGUUGCUUGCUGUUAAAGGGUAUCAUGAUAGGUUUUGGGCUAAGUUAACUUGUUUACUUGUGUGAGCUUGUAUAACUUUUGCUCCGUAAAUGAGUGUCCAGUGAGUUACUUAUGUUAUCAAGCAUUCAUUCUUUUGUAUGCACAUCUUCUCAUUCACCGAGCAUGCAAUAGGUGCACCGGACGUGGCAGUUUCCUUCAAUCUUCAGGCGAAUCCCGAAGGUCAGGAGGGCAGCCAAGAGGUGGAGGUCCAGCAAGUCGGACCCGAGGAGCCAGAAGAAGAAGUUGCGUGCCCGAAUCACGAGCCAGCGUCGUUCGUGAAAGGCAAGCCCCGGAGCAUUCUAAGUCUCCCUUUAUUUUCGAAAGUUUACUUAAUAUGUUAUACCUAUUGAUGCAUUACGUGUAGGAGUUGUGAUAAAACUUUUGCUGCAUUCUAAUCUAUCCUUGUCUAGAUAAUUCAUCCUACCCUGGUUGUAGAGUUAGGAUCGAGUAGCAGCUUAGCUAUGCUUUAAUCGGUAGAAGUGGGGUGAUAUCCUGUCACCUGCGCGAUAUAGGGUUAUGUCGGAUCGCGAUGGUCUAUAUGUGCUAUCGUGGAUGGAACCUGAUUAAAUUGACUUAAGCCGGGCGGAGUUUUGCAAGUUUGUAGUAACUCCGUCUGUGGCAGCUAAGGACCGAUCGUUGUACGUCCUCUUGUCAUGUUGAACGCAUGCCUAACACUUAGUUGGCCGGAUAACUCGUUCCGACCGCGAAGCCGAGUAGUAUGACUCAGGCCGGAAGACCGGCAAGUAUAAAGUGCGCACUACCGGAGGAAGUGCGGUGUGCGGGGGACCAUUGGCGUAAGUCCAAAGGCAGGUGAGUUAAAAUUCCUGACCUCCCUGGCAGAGUGGUAGCCCUGGGAGUGCGGCGCUGAUCGGAGCCGCGAUUUCUGAGUCGUACCAAAGGUGACCCGUUGUCUCUCCGGCAGGGGAUGCUUGGGUGAGUGCUAGGAAUAACCCUCCAGCUGGAUAGGAAUUCGAUUCGAAUCGCCGUCUCUCCCGGUUAGUGAGAACUUGACAGAGCAGCAGCAAACGUAGCAUCUACUAAUGAACCUGGUUCAUGAAAUGAUGAUAGCAAGAAGAACAUAUGAUGAAUUUGAUAUGGUUAUUAUUGUUUGCAAUAAUCAAGUGAUGUGUUGUAGUACAGGUGCUAAUCUAGUGGUAGGCUGAUGAUAAAUAAAUAUAAUGCUCUCAAUUUAAUUUAGUUGUAAGUUAAGCUUUUGGCAAAAGUUGAGUCAACCAGCUCCACUUGAUAUUUAGCCUUGCAUGAUCCUUGGUGUCUUUUAUGUUUUACUAGAAGGGUAAGUCUAGCUGAGUACAUUCUCGUACUCUGGGUUUAUUCCCACCUGUUGCAGAUGACAUCUUCUAUGACGGUUUCUGCAAGACCUGUCUCCAUCCCGCUGGGGAUGAGGACUAACCGUUGGGCACGGUUCUCUAACAACUUCGUAUCUGAUGCUUUUGGAAGGAUGGUGUAGACUCUGGCAAUAACCAAAAACUUGUGAACUGAACUUUGAACAAGUGUGUGUAACUAUUUUGCUUCCGCUACUUCGAACUUUGGUUGUAAUAACUUAAUGACUCCGAUGUGGUGCCGCUUCGACGGCAAUGAAUGGCUAUGUAACAUUCGCUGUGUUUAUGUUCAACUAUUACGAUCUUGGUUUGUUGCGAGUUGGUUUGAAGUCCUUCGUGAUUUCAAUUGACUACCGGGAUUAUAUGGGCUCAAGUUUGGAAACUUGAUUGCUUGGCGAUCGUUUCUGCACUUGAACUCUUAUAAUUUGGUCGGUUCUGUGACAUUAAUAGUCAGUAUGAUGAUGUUCUAUGGAUGGGCCACGCCACAGGGAAAAUCUAAAGCCUAGAUGUUAAUGCAUAUCACUCAUUUAUUUUUACUUUAACCAUAGCAUAUUUGUUUAAAUGCAUUCAUCCUCCACUUUGUCUUCAUCACUCAUUAUCUUGUCUCUAGUAUAAUGAAUCUUGUUUAUCCUAUCAUGCUCCCUCUUUCUAUGUCAGUAUGCUUUGGUUUGGUUAUACUAAUCACUCGAGUGAGUACCUCCAUAGUCUUUUUAAAUUAAGCAUGAUGCUUAGGUUAAAUAGACUACCUUAAUCAAACAAGACAUGGAGUUAAGUUUGAUUAUUGAACCAAUCAUACUUGCAUGGAACAUGGUUGCACUUUUGGACUAACCCCUGCAGUAAGAACAUCAAUAUCUCUAUGGCUAAGUCAUGAGAUCAUUCAUGGAGACAACUUGAGAUCCUCAUGGUCAAAGACAAGUUUCUUGGCCAAAGAGAACUUCGAUGCAACUAAGAAGGGCCAAUGCUAUGACUCAUCAUCUUCGAGGUAAGUGGCCACCUUCUUAAGAGUUUUCAAGGAGUUUGAUCCUUGAUAGAAGAAGUUGACAUGCUAAGAACACAUCCUUACUAAAGAUUCAACAAGACUAAAAUCUACAUGUCUUAACUUCUUUUAUAUAUUUUGUGUGGAUUGGCUUUUAGGAUAGCAUGAAUACACUUAUUUUAGUCCUUAAGACAAAACUGGUCUUGGGCAGCCUCCAUUAUGGGUCGGGCGACCCCAUCUUAGUGACUAACCAAGCCCAUGUUUGGCCAAACCAUCUAUAACAUGUGGGGAAGUACAAACCCAAAACCUGUUCGCUCUAAAACUUCCAAACGGGGGUCGGUCGACCUGGACUUAGUACCCACUAUGGCUCAAACUUGGCCAGACCACUUCUAAUCACCUAAAAAGUAUAGGACCCGAACUUGCUUGCUCUGCACCAAACAACUAAGGGUCAGGCGACCCCAACUUGAUAGGAUGCAAGUAUCUUGAAAGUGGUCCUACGAAAGGGAGAGUUGAGGGAGAAGUGUGAACUUUGGUUUCCACCGAGGUGGGGUCGGGCGACCCAUAGUUGGGAACCCCAAUCUGACCCAGAGUGUCGUGCCAGCACUUAGAAACUAUUCCCAGUUGCAACUCUUGUGAAAACAAGUUUGUAAUGUUUGGUAAUAGCUUUCCUUGGCCUUCCCUCUUCUUCUUCUCCAUCCCAAUCCUCCUUGUAUCAAACUCAACACCUUCUAGCCCCCUAUAUGCCUCCCGAGUUACCUUGAGUAGCCUUUUGUGGUCCCCACUAGCACAAAUGUCAUCAAUUUUAUCAGUGAGGCCCCCUUCAAUCAUGAGGGAGACUAGCUGCGAAACUAGAGGUCACCAUGGAGGCCAUUGUGCUUAAAGGAGAACCAUACCAUGCCUUCAAGAACCUCAAGGCAAAGGUAGGCAAGUAUGGCAAGAGGAGGUGCAAUCUUAGUCCAUAUCUCUAGGGCCAUCUGAAGCACCCAAGCAAUAAACAAGAUGGAGAGGUCCUGCUCUAUAAACCAAAAGCAUGGAGAUCUUGCUGAUAAGGUAAAUCAGUACUUAUCCCAUCUUUACUCAUUGCAUUUCAAUUCUUGUAUUUCCCUUCUGAUUGCAUGCUUAGUUUAGUUUUGCAUAUUUUCCCUUCAACAAAAUGCUUAGAAAUAAUAAAUGAAAAUCUUGAGAACAACUUGCAAUACAGCUUUGACCUAUGGAUCACCUAGAGGUGGGGUCGGCUGACCCCACCAUUGGGCCCAAAUGCAGUCUUUCACUUUGGCUUGAUGCAAUGUGUCGAGGUCAGCACUUGGAUGCUCCUGGAGCUUUCAAGUUGGGGUCGGUCGACCCCAAGACUUGCCCUUUUGGCAGUCUGCUUUAGAAUCCCAUGCAUGACAUACAAGCCAAAGUCUGAAAGGAAUUGGUUCGUUUGGGACCUAUGCAGCAGCUUAAACCUGCAAAGUGGUCCUAGACAUGCUCUAGUGCUGUUAUGAUCACUGACAACCACUUUAAGCAUAUCUCCACUUUUGCAAAUCAUCUUUUCUCUUUCACAUAGCACUAGGCAAUGGACUCUUAUAAAAGAACUUUACUUCUUGUCCACGCCUAGGCUUUAUUUUAGUAAACAUGUAAUGCCACAUCAUUAAAAGUGCUAAAGUGCUUAGGGUAGGGGUCAGUCGACCCCUUGGCCAAUCUCUGGAAAAGAGUUCAUAUAUGUUGCAAGAUUCCCUGCCAUGAUUCAAAAUUUUGAAACAUAGUGCUUAUGGGGAGGUCGGCUGCCCCCCACAUUUGGGUGUUCACCACUUGACCUUCUACCCCUAUAAAUACACAUGCAUUGUGAGCUCGAUUCCACACCCAAAACCACCAAAAUUAUCUCGAGCUCACAAUCCCUCCUCUCUUCUUAGUUGCAAGCUAUUUCUCAAGAUUAGGAUAGUUUCCUUUUAAAAAAACCAAAAAAAUAUUUAGUCUUGCAUAGGAGUAGAAGUAGGAAAAAGUUUGGUUGUCUGUGUUGUGCAAGAAAAUGGAGAAAGCAUUCCUCUCCUGAUUCUAGAAGUCCAAAGGGGGUGAGAGUUGUUCUCAAAGCUCUCAUCAUUCUAAUGAGGGAAGCCAUGAGAGGAUGGAGGAAGGGGAGAGUCACCAUCAAGUGGUUCUCUACGAACCUCCUCCAAGAGCAAUGGAGCCUGAAGAAUGAACUCAUAUUAACAACGGAAGAGCUGAUCAAGUUCAACAACCUAAAGGAGAGCGGUUUCUGCCAUACAAGCAUCCUUGACCUGGCCCUUGUGGACCGCACAGGUAUGACUAAGGAAUUCAAUGAUAUUUUAAUACCAUUGGUUUGGGAGGUUUUUGGUGAGUACCUUAAACUUGGUAUAGAAGUGCUCACUAAAGAAUUUUUAUGCACACUAAAAUUGACUCAUAACAUUUCACAUGUGUGGGCAAGAGUGUAGCUGUACUUGGGGUCUUCUAACCACUGCUCUAGGUUGUGACUUUGAUUGUACAAUUGACUUAGACACUACCAUGCCUGGGUUUAAUAAGAGUAUAUUUUGAUGAUUGCUCCACUCUCUUAACCUCUAAAAUUCACAAUCCAACCUUGUGCUUAAUUUAUUUCUGGAUUACUACCAAUCUUUUUUCUGGUUCUUCUGACUCUCUAAAAGAUGAUGAACUAAAAUUGCUCUACGCCAUGGUACACAAGAUUGAAAGCUCCCCUAUUAAAUUGAUGAUAAGAUUUUAGCUACUUACCCAUGACCCAAGUUGGUCCCGUUGGUGUGUUGCCACCAGUAGGACCCCUGCACUUGAUGUUUCCCAUGUCUUUGGAUUUCAGAAUGCUCAAGAAUCCAAGUGCGUGGGGGGGUCAAGUGGCCCCCUAACUAAGUCUAUGAAUUUCCUAAACACACCAUGACGUAGUACAUGGUGAGGCAAGUUGGCUCGACCAAUUCUACCCUAAGCAUGGGGUUGGCUGACCCCCUCUUUGACGGCCAACGGGAACAGAAGCUUGCAGAGGUACAUCAUCAACAAUAGGAAUUCAAAUGGCAGCAAUGGGCAAGCCCAAGUGGGGUCGGCCGACACCACCUUGGAGCCUUGGACCCACCAUUCAGCAUCCACUCAACGUCAACCUGCCUUCUAACUGGUUUGCCACUCCUACUCCCUCUCUGUUUUUUCAUUUUUAUUACUUCUGUCUCUUGUUUGCUUUAUAAGAUAAAAUAGAACAAAAAUAAAAACAAAAAGACUUGGAUCUAUGAUUUAGGACAUUAAAAGUGUGACAUGAUUCAUGACAUUAAAAGGGUAAAAGUGUCACAAAGUCUAAUUCUUGCAUAUGCUUAUACUUGUGGGUCACAUAUCAUGAUAGGAAUAUCAUAUUGACUUGGUUGUUGGCAAUUGUGAUAUAGUUCUUAGCUCAUGUUUCAUACCCUCUCUAUUCAAAGUGCUUAGAGAUUUAUUUUUGAAAAUAUCAUAAAACCAUAGUGUCACUUACUCCUUAAUAGUAAGAGAAUUCCUACCACAACCAUAUAUGUUCAUACCUUGUUCAAAACCCUUCUAUAUAUGCUACUUGUACUUGUGUUGAGUUUAGUUAAACCUUGUGACCCUAGUUGAGAAUUAUGUCAUAGUCCCAAGAUCAAGAUCAGACACACACCACAUAGAUAUGCUGCUUCUACAUUGGAAGUACGCAAAAACAUGCCAUCUAUUUCCACCAUAUGCAUGCACCAUGUUUUAAGGUUUAGAAUAUCUCUCUUUAAGUAUUGGUUAUAAGAUGAGACACAAAGGCUAUGCUUAGUAAAAAAAGUGGACACAUGAAGGUCCAUUGCUGUUGAAAAAAAGAGAAAGAAAAAAAUCUAGCCAUGUCUCAAAUAAAAAUCUAGCCAUGUCUCAAAUAAAAUCUAGCCAUGUCUCAAAUAAGGAGAUCUUGUCCGUGGAAGAAAGGAUCUUCUUGGUAUGAAUAAUUUUCAAUCUUCUUCCAUGAGCAAGUUCUAUUUAUCUUUAUAUGAUUAUGCAUAUGAACUAGAGUAUGGCUGUGUUCUUAUCAUGUUCAUAGUAUAUGAACUAGUUCUUAGUUCUUGUGCUAUGUUCUUGAUAUGUUCAUCAUUGUUCUUCAUUGUUCAUUAGAUUAGUAUGAUUAGGAUUAGAAUUAGGAAUGGGAUGAUGGUUCACUGUGCUGUUGUUGGGUAUUUCAAACGCAAACAGAAAAAUCCGCAAGCACACGGAUGCCGAUGUAGCCUUCACCCAGGAGUAUUCCUGAGUAUCGAUUUUCCACAGAGAACGUGAGUGUACUAAUUAAGAUCCAAGAUCGCCCAAGGAUAAAUAUAUAAUUAUUUUUUGGUGGGAAGAGAGGAAUUUUCCUGAGAGUUCACUAGUUGAUCUAAGAAUCAAGAAUUACUUCAAGAUUAUCUAUAUCGGGACAUCAGAGCACUAACCACAGAAAGAGAUGAGAAGGGGGCUAGGAAGGUCUGACUACGGUCCUACAAACACCGAUCCGAGCGAGGUGGAAUACGUCGACCAUUAGGGCUGUCACUACCCUAAGGCAACCACAACAAUCCAUAGGAUUGGGUGCAAUUCCAGGUAAUUGCAAGACUAAACACCACGUCUAAUCUAUUAAUUACUACUCUAAUGUUUCAAAGAUUAGAGCACUUGAUGCAAGCGGGAAUCCAAUAAAUAACUUGAAUGUAAAUAAAAGUAAUUAAAGAACUCAGGAAUUGUGAAUUGAAGAACCUGCAGAACGAUGAAGAACGAACCAGUUGCUGCAAAAGUAUAAUGUUGAGGAAGAUCCGACAGAUCCGGCUCCUCCUCCGCUCUCCUCUUCUCUCUCCCUAUUUUCUAGAUUACAACUAGAACUAACUAGAACUAGAACUAGAGGAACUAGAACUAGAACUAGAUGAACUAGAACUAGAUCUAGAUGAACUAGAGAUAUAACUAGAAGAACUAGAGGGAUCCUCUCUACUUGGAUGAAAAAUUGAAACCCUAGCUUUGAUUCUGUAGAAGAGGUAUGAUCUCUAGGGGCCAGGGGGUCUGGUUUUAUAGUCCCUUCAAGUGAAUAUGGUCCGUUGGAUCAAACCGACAUUGAUUGAACGGUUAUCCUUGAUCCUUUAGGUCGGUGGAGCAAUAUCCCGAAAGAGAGUCCUGAUUGGACUCUAUGUGAGGGCGGGCACCCAGUGCCUGGCCCCGUUCGGCCUCCGCUUCCUUCGGAUGGCUUCUGAAGUCUUCUAGAUGGUGGAAAAUUGCACGGCACGAUAAUAUCUCUAUGUAAACCCAACGUGUGGGCCUUUCUUCCAUAUUUCCUGAUAACCCUUUGCAGAAAUAGACAAACACCAAAACUUGUGGAAUUUUGUCAGAUAAAACCCUAAGUCUAGGUGUUGGUUGCAUUUGUAUCCUUUUCUAUGAUUAGUUGAUGGUUAAAUGUGAGCAUUAAGGACCGUCAACAAGCUCCUCCAAGCUUAACCUUUGCUCGUCCCUGAGCAAAGAUGAACUCAAGAGUUUCUGCAGUGGUUUCAUGCCUUAAAGGUACACAUGCGUUCAAACAAGAUCUCAUCUCUGGGUUAGGGUAAGCUGUUAAGAUUUAAACUUACUCAUUUUACCUUUCACCAUGGGGCUGGUAAUCGUCACUUCUGUGUCUUGAGCAGUUAAAAGGUAGAACGGUCUAGUCAAGCGCCAUGUCUCUUGUUCUUCAAUUAACUAUAGCUCUGGAGUUUUUGCAAAUUUUCAAAUAAAACUCAGAGAUUCCUUGUAUGACUCUCUCUAGUCUCUCUUUUGAGGUAUUUCUGGAUCCUUACCAAGGCAGUAAUAGUGUAUGCCUUCUCUCAAAGUAUGUGGUAUUUUUGGUAUAAGGCAUAGUGGCAUUGCCUUCUUUCUCACCCUACUCUAAUAAGGUUUUGAUAUCUGGAGCUCAUAGGUGGGAGACAUACUUACAAGACAUUUAUUGCAUAGUCAAACCAUGGAUCCAGAAGAACAAGUCAAUAAGUCAAAUCAAGAUGUGCAUGUGUGGCGAAUGAAUGGUGCAUGGUAAUGAUCGUGAUAACAAUAGUGAAAGUCUAAUUCUACUUAUGCUCUUAUGAGGGAAUACAUACCUUUCUUGCUCUUUUGAAACUUUUAGGGAGAAUGAGAUACUCUGUAUUUUCUUUUUCUUUCCUCUCAGGUGGGUAUCUUGUACCCCUAAUUCUACUAUCGCACACUUGUCCAUUUUUACCUCUCGUCUCACUUUUUUUUCUUUGAGGUUCCGGACACUUGCCCCUUUUUAUUUCCUUGUAUACUUUUUUCUCCCUUUUUUUAUUAGAGCACUCAUCUCCUGAAAUAUAUAGCAAGUGGUAGUAACCAAGAUAACUUGAGCAUUUAUUUCACAAGGGAAAAACAGAAAUGUUUUUGGCUAUUCUCUCCCGGAUUAGGAGUAGAAUAUUUUUGGGUGAUUCUGGAGAUGGAAAUGAGUGGAUAUAUGUGGAUGCGUACUUCCGGAGU
rnacentral:lncRNA from 1 species